rnacentral:sRNA from 2 species
UCCGGCCAACCGCCGAAUUCUCCGAAACCCAAACGGAGAAGCGGGGGACCCAAGUUUUUGGGGCGAAUCCGCAUAUUUCGUAAGUUUCGUCAAUGCGGUAGGGCAAGCAACCUCCCGCCCGAGCCCGUCAGCUAACCCCGUAGGCAGGAGGAGGAUAUGU